UAUGAAACCAUUGUCAGAAAAUAACUCCGUAAAUUAUUUACUUGGUAAAUUUCUCAGAUGUGGUCAAAUACUGUGAAUAUUUGUUUUCUAGGGCUAAAAGGUGUUUGACAAAAAGCCUCACAUAUCCUGACUACAAAAACUUGAUUGGUUAUCUUCCUAGUAGUAGCUUUGAUGUUUCAAAAGAUUUAGGAAGAUAGUAUUUGAUUGUCCCAUCUGGAAUGAUCAAUUAGAGUUCAAUUGCUCCUAAAGAACUGAGCAUACCUAUAAAAAUGGUUGUAGCAUAGGGGACAGAGAAAAGCAUAAAUAUAGCUUUCAAAAAGAGGAUUAACCGCACGAAAAAAUGCCCUUGUGAUCAUAUAAAUCUGCCGGACACAAUGGCUUUUGAUUAGGUUCUGAUUUUCUUCCCUCUUCUUUUUCCCCUACAUGUAUUUUCUUGCAUAGAGUUGAAAUUGUUUGAUGUUGGAGAAAUUGGGUGGUUUGUACAAUUUUUUUUUUUUUGGGCAAACCCCUCCCUUGGCCCAGUUUUUACAUAUUGGAAUUCAAGUGUUAUAUCCCUCCUCUCCCAUUCAUUUUUCUUUUGAUUAGGAGGUCCUCAUAGACAUCAUUUUCCUCUUUAAUGAGUUUACUUGGCAAAAAUAACUCAGAAAAGAAGCGCCGAAAAUAAGGCUAUCUUGCUUAUGUCUCUUUCUUUCUUUUUUUCAAGCUAUGUUUUCUUGUCACAAAGGCUACGUAGCUUGUGCUGAAAGUCCUUUUGAAUGUUGUAUACCUGGUUACUUUAUUAUUAAGUAGCUAAUUUGUUCUGCACUUUCCUCUCCAUAUCACUACUCCUGAAUACAAGUAAAUAACCGCAAGAUGUGUAGAUUCAGGUUGGUUUGGCCUUUGUUCAGAAGAUAUGACUUUGAUUUUGAGGUGAAAUUUUACAGAACUUCUUAGACUAUUUGUUACUCCAUAACUAGUAAUUGCUAACUAUUAACUAUUUCUUGUAGUGUUGUUCAGUUACAACCCCUCGAAGUUGCUAGGAUUGGUCAAGUGUUGUGGCUGCAAUUGCAAUAAUUGGUGCGAGUUCAUUAAGCUUCUGUUAGCCAAAUCUCCAAAGCUGCAAGCAUGAGAAUCAAGCUGAAGUCAAUGGACAUUGCUAAAGAAUCGAGGAAUCUGAAAAAGUUGAUAGGAUAUCGACGUGCAUCAGUUCGUGGAGUAAUCACUUUCCCAAAAUAAAGGUUUGUGGCUUGAAAGAGAAAUUGAUGGUUCGUGACUUUUUGUCGGAGAUGUAGAUACGAUCUUGCCAGUGCUUGUUGGAACUUCGAAGCCUGCCAUUCCUAUGAUACUUGUUCUCGUACUGAUAUUCUUGUAUAUAAGUUUAGCAUAGUACUUGAUGCUAGAUCAACUUUUGUUAUUUCGGAGAUGUAAUGCUUUGAACAUAUUGCUAAGGAAUGAGUAAUAAAUUGUGUCCUUCAGUUUCUAUGAGUAAUUUGUAUGAGCUUGCUA